rnacentral:lncRNA from 1 species
AGCAAGAUCGUUUUAUGCACAAGCUGAGGCGAGUUCAGUCGCCAAGUUGAGGAUUACAGGCUGAGUUACAGUGCUGCAGGAGAUGGUUAGUCUGGCUUUGUCUGUCCCCUCGAUCCACACCCACGGGAGGCUGCUCAGUGAAAGCCUAUGAUGUCGGCUCUGAUGGGAAAGGGGCUUUGCAAAGCUGGCCAAUCAAUGCAGAUGCCAGCUCUGUGGCCCCAGUCAUCUACUUUUCCAAGAGGUCAUCGGGAUUUGGGGUGCUGUCUUCUUCUCCACGCUCUUUGGGCACAAGAGGCUUCUUAGUUCUACCAAAGCUGCUUGGAGCCGCAGCACAUGUGCUGUUUAGAAAGAAAGAGCCUGAAGAUAGCUGAGAAGGGUGUCCUUGUCCUUGUCUUUGGAAGAUGCUAACACUUACCCAGAAACAGUUGAUGUUAGAGAACAUGGAGGAGAGAGCUCAUGCUCCCAUUUGCUCCAUAAAAAAAAUUGGAAUAAUUUCUGCUCUAAGAUAGCUUAGGGCAAAGCUUUACAGGUUAAAUUAGGUAACACAUAUGUGGCGAGACCCAUGAGUUUAUUUUUUGGUGGCUUUUUGCCCAACUGAUAUUAAUUUAUUUUCUUUCUUUAAAAUGUAAAUAGGCAUGUGUACUUUAGUGUUUUGAAGAACAUGUGAAUAGUUAUGGAAAUUAGCAUAGUCAAUUUUCUUGUUUUGGAAUCAAAAUAUGGAUUUUAUACUAAGGAAAUGAGGGUUAUGCUCUUAAUUCAUUCCUUCUUCUCUGAGUGCUCCCUGUCACGCCCUCCCUGAGCAAGGGGUGCAGUGUGCAUACAUUUUCUUGUUUAGUUUGGGCUCUAGGCCAGCUUGCUUGGAAAAUUUAUUUGUAAAGUAUAAAUAAGGAAAGGCAGGGCCUGUGGGCUGUGGUGGGUAGGCUCAGCUCUGCCAUCCCUGUGGGCCAUGCUCCAGAGCUCAGACAAUGUGUUUGUUUUUAAUUUUUUCUUCACUUAUUUCUUUUUAAGUUAGAACUUAGUUCAUCUUCCUCAUUAUGAUAUUCCUCUAAGAGCCAGUCAGCCUGUCUUCCUUUUUCCUUCCUUCCUCCCUCCUUCCCUUCCUCUACCCCCUCUCUCCUCCCUCCCUCCCUACCUUGCUUCCUUUUUUCCUUCCUUGCUUCCUUGCUUCCUUCCUUCAAUCCUUCCUUUCUUCUUUCCUUCCUUCCUUCUUUCUUUUCAUGCUGGGAAUGGACCCCAGGAACGUGUACACACUAAGCACAUGUUAUACCACUGUGACCUUUUUGAGAUGAGAAUUUCUUUUCCAAAUGGCAAAGUGCCUUCAGUGGAUGGGUGAUACUGGGUUUAAGAUUCACACCAUGUCCUUGUGCAACUUGAAGUCUGCAGUUUAUCAAAUUAGAAGUGCCCUACAUAUCUUUUUGCUCCAUUCUGGUGAAGUGUGUUUCUAUAAAUGAUCUUUAUAUAUUGAAGGCUUAAGCACAUUCAAAAGAACAACAGAUACCUAACCCGUGUGUGGAGAAGUUGGACAUGUGUGCAUUUUGCUUUCACCCUAGCUGACAGAUGUCAGUGUGUCCUUCUGAAGAGGUUCACUCAUGCAGAUCAGAAUUAAAAGUGGAUUGUGUAGUGACUGUCAUGUAUAUUUUUAUUUCUGAACGUAGUAGGAACAUUUGGCUUUACUUCUUUGCCUUAUGAACGUGCACUGUAAGUCAUAUAUGUGUAUUAUAUUAAAGAACUAUAUUAUUUUCUUUGUUGUUAUUUAUGUUUGUUAGUGACUUAAAUUAUUCAAUAAAGAAGCCUUGGCUAAC